UCCGGCGGCUCCGCGGUACUUCGCCGGGCUGACCUCCGGGGCGGUCCGCGAACACUUCAGCCAUUAGCAGUGCUCUGUGCCACACAGCAUAAGCAGUGAAUGUGCAAAAUCCCCUGCGCACGAAACCGUCCUUCAGCCCUCUCCCUCAGGGUCCUGCCUGGGAGAUCUAGCACCACAAAGAAAGAAAAAUUACCAGGACACAAUCGAAGUCUCCAGUAUCGACCCCUCGGCAUGUGGAGCUUGAAGCCUUGUGUGGCUUGUUUAUGGCAUUCUUGGAAAAACAGACCCAGUGACUCUUUGGGCAGGAGCUGUAUGGGGAGGAAGAAAAUAAGAAGGGCUAGUCUGUUAGCCUGGGGAUGGUGUUUCUCCCGCUGAGGUCUCAGUGUGGUCUUCUGUAAAACCCUUAGCAAUCAAAGGCACCUGACAAGUCCGGCGUGUUGGGCAUGUGGCUAGACUCCCAGCGUGUGGAAAGUAGAAUCAGAGUGUCAGAAGUUCAGUGGCCAGGGGGCUGGAGAGAUGGCUCAGUGACUAACUGAAUGCUCUUCUAGAGUCUUGAGGUCAAUUCCUAGCAACCACAUGGCUCACAACCAUCUGUAAUGAGAUCUGAUGCCCUCUUCUGGUAUAUCAAAAGACCGCUACAGUGUACUCAUAUACAUA
rnacentral:lncRNA from 1 species